GAAGAAGUUUGAAUUUUUUGAAGAAUUUAUACAUCUCCUCUAGCUCUUCUAGUUUAUGUGUGCAAAGCUGUUCAUAGUAGCCUUGAGUAAUCUUUUGUAUUUCUGUGGUAUUAGUUGUAAUAGUUCCCCUUUAAUUUCUAA